rnacentral:lncRNA from 1 species
CACAACAUAAAGUUGAAAGAAAACCAUUACCUCUUUUUCCGAUCUCCCUCUCUUUGUUUGAAUCCGGUCCGGUUCUCCUCCUUCUUCUUCGCGACCUCACGCAGAUUCCAAGUUUGGAUCUGCUCUCUCUCCGAUUCGGUUCCGGCGCGCCCCUUUUGCUCCGGUUCGGUUUGCUUUGUUUUGUUAUGUGUUGAUUUGAGUUGGUUUUGUGAAUUUGUGCUGUUUAUGUUAACAAAUGUUCAUGAAUGUUGUUGGAGAGAGAGAAGGAAAUUGUGUUUGUGACUUGAUUGGAAAAAAUGUGUGGUUGCUGAUUUUUCUGUGAACAGUGAUUUUUUCUCUGGCCCAUUUCCCAAUGAUUGACAGGCUU